AAAGAAAAGAGGCACUUUCUUCUUCUCUUAGACGAAUAAAAAUCGGAAAAAAGGGAAAAAUCACAAAACAAGGGGAGCUGUGUCUCUCGUCUCUCACAUUCAACGAAUCCUUUCACUGUUCUUGAUUUGUAUGCCCAAGGCAGCAGCUCCUGAAAUUUUGUGGGCUCUAAUAACAGCAGUGAUAGUGGUUUGUGUGAGCUCAAGAAAUGCCUUUGUUGAAAAGGAAGCCCUUUGAGUUGUCGGAACUGCCUAAUGAUUUGGAGCCUGAUGAGCUUGUGUAUCAGAUUCGGUUUUCAAAGGAGAUAUUUCGGGAUUAUCCAGCAUAUUUGAAUAGGAUAAACCUAUAUCGACAAAGACUUUGGUCGUGUAAAUUCACUGGAAAAGCUAACUUGACAUAUGAAGAGGCUAUGGUGUCAGAGAAGCGUGCUACUGAAAAGGUGCAAGAGUUACCAAAGGAGCUAUUGGCCCCUGCCCUGCUUAUAAUUCAAUUUAGCAUGCUUUCAUUGAAAGAUCUUGCUGACACAAUAGCUACAAAGUUGCAAGACUGUCUGUUUGUUGGUGCUGAACUUCUAGGAAGAAAGGACGGUGGUCUUUUUUUUUGUAAGAUACUAAAGGCCGUGGAGGGUGGUGAUAAAGCCAGAUAUGAGGUAGCAUGGCUUGACAGAUAUAAGAAAGUUGUGGAGAAUACAAUAGCGAAUAGAGAAGACCUGGUAUGCAGGAAGCUGCCAUUUAGUAGACAAGUUUUAAAAUCUUUCAUACGGGAGUCUACAUAUAGAAGUUCUCCUUGGGUGCUUCAUGAUAAAUUGGCUCAAAAGCAUGAAAUCUCUACCAAUCCUCCAGAGGAGUUAAGAAGUAAAGUUUUUGUUCAAGAUGGACUUAUAGUCUGCCAUAAGAAGAGAAGGAAAACUGAGGAUGACGAAAAUAACUCUGGGUUGAUUGCAGAUGACUAUGAAGGCGAUAGGUCAAAGGAAAAUUCAAUCAAAUAUCCAAUUGAUGAUAUGCUGGUGAAGCCCGGCUCUGAUGAUCCAGUUUUUACUGAUCGUCCUCAUCCAACAAAGGAUUUUAAAGUCUCUAUGGAUUGUGUUGGUGAUCUUCUGUUGGUUUGGGAUUUUUGUUCUUCAUUUGGCAAACUGUUGCAAUUGUGGCGAUUCUCUCUCGAGAAUUUUGAAAAUGCUCUCUGCCAUAAAGACAGUAAUCUUGCUCUCAUUAUGGAACUACAUUCAGCAUUUCUUAGGUUGCUCAUAAAAGACAGUGGUCAAUAUCUUUCUGCGGUAGAGAACAAGGGCCGUAAAUUGAAGAUUACGUUAAUCAACUGGACAGAGUACUUGUGCGAUUUCUUGGAAAUGGGCAACGCUCCUGAAUUAUGUACUCAUGUUACACCUAUCAAGCGGGGGCGUUAUGGCCUUCUAGAUGCUCAAGCUAAAUUGGCAAUCUUACAAGAAUUGAUUAAUCAUGCACUCGAAACAGAUAUUUUUAAGGAGAAGAUGGGCGAAUAUAUUGAAGAGCGACAGGCACUUGGGGCCACAAGAAGGGGGGAAGCAUUGGAAGAAGCUAGAAAGAAAAGAGAAGAGAAGGAACGGUUGAAGGCUCAAUCUGUUGUCAAUGGAGUAAUUGGUGAGCAUACUUCAGAGAAUGGAAGUAAUUUAGAGGUGGUGGUGAAAGAUGAUCAUAUUAAACGCAAUGGAGAAUUAGUGAAUGAAACAAAUGGGGAGAUCAUUUCAUCUCAAGAUAACCAUACAUCAGGAAAAAGCAAUGAAAGGCACAAUUUGAAAACUGGGUCAAAAAAGAUGGCAAAGCAGCAGAUUAUGCGUCUAAAAGCCCGAGCUAGAGACGCUGAAGAUCCAUCUGGCGAGGAUUCACCGAAACAGUUGAAAAAUGAUAAUAAUGGAGCAACAUAUAGGAAGAGCAAAGAACAGAGGAAAGAAAUGUAUGAACGGGAGAUGCAAAAACGAUACAUACGCACCAACCCUUUGGGUAAAGACAGAAAUUACACUAGGUAUUGGUGGUUUCGGCGUGAUGGGAGGAUAUUUGUUGAGACUUCUGACUUUAAGCAGUGGGGCUACUAUAACACCAAAGAAGAGUUGACAUGUUUGAACAGCUUGAUGCAUUGAUUGGUUCGUUAAAUCUGAAGGGUGAGAGGGAAAGGGCUCUCAAGAAACAACUGGAAACAUAUUACGGAAAAAUAUGCACGGAACUUCAAAAGCAAUCAAAGGAUUUUACUGGGAAGAUUGCCAUGGAGGAAGAAGAAGUGGUUAGGAGAUCUACCCGUGUACGGGUGCCACCUGGAGAAAACCCAGCUAAUGCCUUCCUCCGGUAUAUUAACAAGUGGAAAGAAGACUAACCAGGGUUGAGAUAGCGCUGAAGGUGGCCCAGGAUCCAUCCAAUUGAUAUAGGUCCUUGAUUGCUGGUUACUCUGCAAUGGAAGAUAGAGAGUAGGAAUUUUUUUGAUGACUUAGUUACCUGUUUGAUUGUUAAUUCAGUGGGGAUGCAGGAGUCAAGGCAUAGGGUGUAAUUGGUGAGAGGGAAGGGGAAGGGAGAGGAGCAAUUUUGUCCCCCUUCCUCUGACAAUUGACAACCACGUAUCUCCACUUGAUCCUCCCAUUUUCUCA